GUGUCCAUUGUGGGCUUUGGUGGCUUGGGUAAAACUACACUUGCCAAACAAGUGUAUGAAAAGAUUGGAGGGCAAUUUGACUGCAAGGCAUUUAUUUCAGUCUCACAAAAGCCUGACAUGCCAAGUCUUCUCAAUGGUCUAGGAUUGGACCUUGGACUUGGAAUAGGGGAGGACUCUCGUGCUCGCGAGGUGCCAUACAUCAUACGCCGUCUCAGAGAAUAUCUCACACAUAAGAGGUACCUUAUUGUAGUUGAUGACUUGUGGGAUCCACCUACAUGGGAUAUUCUUCGAUGUGUCUUUGCAGAAGGUGGUAAUGGGAAUACAGUAAUUGUAACCACAAGAGUGGAUGUUGUCGCUUGUAGGGCAUCUCAUGAGCACGAUGGACACAUUUAUAGAAUGAAGCCUCUCAACAAUGAAGACUCAAAAAGGUUAUUCUUUGGUAGAGUGUUCAGAUCGGAAGAUAGUUGUGCACCCCAAUAUGAAGAAGUUUCAACCCAAAUUUUGAAGAAGUGUGGUGGAUUGCCACUUGCAAUUAUAACUAUAUCUAGCUUAUUGGCUAGCCGUCAAGCAAAAUCAAGGAGUGAUUGGGAGAGCAUAAUGAAGUCUCUGGGCACCAAUUUUGCUACAGAUCCUACCCUUGAAGGGAUGAAGAAUAUAUUAAACCUUAGCUACAUGCAUCUACCUCCUCGUCUCCGGGCAUGUUUCCUUUAUCUUGGUUUGUAUCCAGAGGACCGUGAGAUUCGGAGGGAUGAUUUGGCCCGACAGUGGGUGGCCGAAGGCUUUGUCAGUAGUGUUCCCGAGCUAGAUUUGAAAGACGUUGCUAAGAGUUAUUUCAAUGAGCUUAUCAAUAGAAGUCUGAUUCAGCCUGCCGAAACCAUAUAUGGAGAGGUGACCUCUUGCAGAGUACAUGACAUGAUCCUGGAUUUAAUCUUGAGCAAGUGUGCAGAAGAAAAUUUUAUGCAUACAGCACACAGUUAUGGAGAAAUGGAAAAAAUGCAUAGUUGCAAGUACAAAGUCCGCCGAUUAUCUCUGAACUUGAGCGCAGGUGGCGCAACACCAGGGUCGACUCUUGCUACUGGCCUGUCACAAGUCCGAUCAUUUGCACAGUUUGGAGAGUCCAUAUAUGCACCUCCUCUUGAGUCCUUUAAGCAUGUCCGGGUGCUGGUAUUUGAAGUGCCAGGUGAGAGAAGCAAGCUAGGUGCAAUCUGCCACUUGUUUCAGCUGAGGUAUUUGAAGGUUUCAGCAGACAGCGUAGAGCUUCCAGCAGACAUUCGAGGGCUUGUGCACCUGAAGACACUGGAGAUGAACUGCUGGUCUGAACCAAAAAUCAGUUCAGAUAUAGUCCACCUGCCCAAUUUGUUCAAUCUGCGCCUUCCAUACGGCACAGGGCUGCCUGAAGGGAUCCGGAACAUGACAUCAAUCCGCACCCUACGUUGCUCAAGCAUGGAGAAGAGCUUGGUGGAGGAUAUUACAGGUCUGGGCGAGCUGACCAAUCUGAGGAAUCUAUGCCUAUCCGGGGGCUCUUUGACGGUGGAGGGGGUUGAUGCUCUGGUCUCCUCAAUUGGGAAGCUCCGAGACCUUAGGCAACUCUAUCUCGGUUGCCGUCUUAAAGGCUAUAACGACCAGCUGGGCUCGUUACCUGAUCCUCCUUCCCGUCUCGAGGCGCUCAAUCUGGGAAACUGGCUGUUCUAUGUAGUUCCCAAAUGGAUCGGUGGUCUCCGUGAUCUCAGGUGGCUCUCUCUGAACGUUGAUGACUUGUCGAGUCAUGAGCUGCGUAUUCUUGGAGAGCUGCCCUCUCUUGUUCGUGCCUAUCUGUCCGUUUCACGUAUCCCCAAAGACAAGAUCGUGGUCGGCUCAGGGUCAUUCCCGGUUCUGGAGCACAUUUCCCUUGAUUCUGAUGAAGAUGUCGCAGCUUACCUGAGAUUCGAGGCAGGGGCUAUGCGCAGUCUACGAGUACUCGCUAUCCGAUACACAGUGGAGGGCUGGAGCGGCUGUACACCGGACGGCAUGGAGCACCUUCUAUGCCUGGAGCAAGUCAACGUACGUGUCUACGGCACGCCCACCACGGAACAAGUGGCACCCGAUGUCUCCUCCGCGUACAGUAAGGCACUGGAGGUGCACCCGAGACGUCCUACCUUUGCGCUCGAGAGGUAG
rnacentral:rRNA from 1 species